AACAUGGCUCUUUGGAAUUUUUAUAUGAAGAGUCGGGCCUGCCCAGUGAUAGUAUUUAACGGCCGCGGUACUCUGACCGUGCAAAGGUAGCAUAAUCAUUUGCCUUAUAAUUAAGGGCUUGUAUGAAUGGUCUGACAAGAGUGUUACUGUCUCUUUAAAAAUUUAUAAAAUUUGGUUUUUAGGUGAAGAAACCUAAAUAUAAUUGAAAGACAAGAAGACCCUAUCGAGCUUUAAAACAAUGAAUUAAAGAAUAUAAAUAUAAAAAUUAAUUUUAAUUUAAAAUUUUGGUUGGGGCGACUGAGGAACAUAUAAAGCUUCUUUUAUUAAAAAAUGCAUAUAAGCUAUGAUCCAAAGAAAUUUGAUUAAAAAAAUUAGUUACCGUAGGGAUAACAGCAUAAUCUUUUUUGAGAGCUCUUAUCGAAAAAAAGGCUUGUGACCUCGAUGUUGGACUAGGAUAUCCUAAUAGAUGCAGAAGUCUUUAAAGGUUGGUCUGUUCGACCACUAAUAUCCUACGUGAU
rnacentral:rRNA from 1 species